CAGCCGCCGCGGUAAAACGAAGGGUGCAAGCGUUAAUCGGAAUUACUGGGCGUAAAGCGUGCGUAGGCGGUGAGUUAAGUCUGCUGUGAAAUCCCCGGGCUCAACCUGGGAAUGGCAGUGGAUACUGGCUCGCUAGAGUGUGUCAGAGGAUGGUGGAAUUCCCGGUGUAGCGGUGAAAUGCGUAGAGAUCGGGAGGAACAUCAGUGGCGAAGGCGGCCAUCUGGGCCAACACUGACACUGAGGCACGAAAGCGUGGGGAGCAAACAGGAUUAGAUACCCCGGUAGUCCCUGUCUCUUAUAC
rnacentral:rRNA from 1 species